GAUAUAUCUUGGAACCGUCUCACCGGCAGUCUUGAAGGCUUAGACAAUUGCAGCAGGUCUCUCCAACAGUUGCACUUGGACUACAAUUCAUUUGCAGGCCAUCUACCUGAGUCUUUGUAUUCAUUUUCAGCUUUGGAGCAGCUUUCAGUCUCUGGGAACUCUCUUUCCGGCCCGAUUAGCAAGGAACUGAGUAAGCUCUCUAGCCUCAAGACCUUAGUCAUUUUUGGAAACCAAUUCUUUGGUGAACUUCCAAAUGUGUUUGGGAACCUUAGACGACUAGAACUGUUAGUUGCACAUUCAAAUAUGUUAUCUGGGCCAUUGCCUUC